CAGAGGAACCCCGGAUGCCAGCAGCCUGUCUUCAAAGAAGAGAGAAGGGGCUUCAGCCUAUUUAAGUGAUGAUUGGAAGAAUCCGAUUCAGAUAAGAUAAAUGACACAGAAGAAAGAAUGGGGUAAGAUUCCUGAGACUGAAAGAAAAGAGAGAAAAGAGAGCUCCACCAGAUACAGCUUUAGCAAACCGGAACACCUGCCAAGUCAUAAGUAAGAAGAUUUUUAAAAAAGCAGAAACCAACCAGCUGGCAAAAAAUUUCAGUGAUACAGCUACCAGACAUAGUUCAGAGGCACUGAGACCCAAGAUGACCACAUGCCCCUCUUCUCUGGUUUUCCAGUCCUGUCCCCAUACAUCACAGAUGCUGAUACCACACUGAGCUCAUCUCCUUCAACUCUGGAAAAUUAUGCUCCAAAAAAUGAAAUGAAUUGACUCUAUAUAGAAACGGAAGCUGAAUUUCCUCCACUAUGGACUUAGCCUUAGGUAUUGUCCCUCCCCAUCAUCAUAGGAAACUUCAACAUCCACAUGAACAACCCUCAAGAUUCUUUAAAAUGUUGGCCAUAAUAGAAGGUUCUAAGAUACCAUUGUCAACAAUGAAAACAGUCUUUGAACCUGUAUUACUCAUUUCUUACUCUUUCAUCAAGGCAGAAAGAGGCAACGAGAGAGCAGGAUUUGGAGUCAGAAAGACUAGAGCUUGAAUUGAAACCACUACUUACUUGUUACAUAAUCUUUGUGAAUAUACUUAAUCACUUUAAUCUCAAUUUUCUCAUCUGUAAAUUAGGUAUUAAAAUAAUAAUGACUACCUUAUAGUGGUACUUUGAGGACUAAACAAUUAAAAUACCUGUAAGUCAUAUAUUAUACCCUUUUUACGCAGACAUUCCUUAAUAAAUUAUGAAUACACAUAUUGAACUUGGGUUUAUAUAUCAAAAAACAACUAAAUUAAAA